AUUGAACGCUGGCGGCAUGCCUUACACAUGCAAGUCGAACGGCAGCACGGGUGCUUGCACCUGUGGCGAGUGGCGAACGGGUGAGUAAUACAUCGGAACGUACCUUAUCGUGGGGGAUAACGCAGCGAAAGCUGUGCUAAUACCGCAUACGCCCUGAGGGGGAAAGCGGGGGAUCGAAAGACCUCGCGCGAUUAGAGCGGCCGAUGCCUGAUUAGCUUGUUGGUGGGGUAAAAGCCCACCGAGGCGACGAUCAGUAGCUUGUCUGAGAGGACGAUCAGCCACACGGGGACUGAGACACGGCCCAGACUCCUACGGGAGGCAGCAGUGGGGAAUUUUGGACAAUGGGGGCAACCCUGAUCCAGCAAUGCCGCGUGAGUGAAGAAGGCCUUCGGGUUGUAAAGCUCUUUUGUCAGGGAAGAAACACCGGCUCUAACACAGUCCGGGAAUGACGGUACCUGAAGAAUAAGCACCGGCUAACUACGUGCCAGCCGCCGCCGUAA
rnacentral:rRNA from 1 species